AAAUAAGUUAAGUUCUUGCGUUUGGAUCGGCGGCUGCUUCCUGUUAGGGUUUGCGACUGGAACCCUAAUCAACAAUUUCAUGUGGAGAAUCUAUCGUUAGGCUAGAAGCAUGUUCUGCCUUUAGCUCUAAGAAUCCUCUUUUUAAAGAAUAGGAUUUCUUGGUGACAAGGUAGAUAUAUCUGUUUUGGUUGAUCUGUAUGGAUUAAUGUUGAUGUUCUGAUUCAAAAAGGAAGUUUUUUUGUUUGAUUUCUUGAGAAAGUUGGUAGCUUUUUGUGGAUUGGUAUGAUGUUGGAUGAUGAAAAAAAUCAGACGGAUUCCCAAUGAUUUAUUCUUUAAAUAUGAUAACACAACCAGCUACUUCUGACACAUCAUGCCAGAAACUCAUCUAAAGUUUCAGAUUUUUUUUCUUUUUUUUUUGGGUUGCAUUUUUGGAUUUUUUUUAUGAUUAUUUUUGGUUUUGGGGUUUUCUAUUGUAUGAGCCAAUGAUGUGAGAAAAAUAUUUGCUACUCUUGAUGGAGUAUCCAUUUGAUGAAUUUGAACCACCAAGAUCUCUGAGGCUUUUUAUUCCAAUCCUAUCCUUUCUUAAAUCUUUGUCAGUUUAUUUUAUUUAUUUUUUUUAAAUCUUAAUUAUGUUUUGGUUCUUGUGGUUUCAAUCAUAUUCUGAAGAUGUAGAUUUGUCAGUGUGAGAUGUGAAAUGAGUGGAACUCUUCUUUGCAAGGAUUUCAGAUAUAUCCAAAGCAUGUCACAGGUUUCCAUUCAAUCCAUCUCUAGCAUUUUUUUUUUUUUUAGUUUUUUUUGUUUUGGAUCUUAUUUUUGAACAUAUGGAUUUGUGUGAUUAUGAGGCUGUGAAAUGAAUGGAAAAUGUUGUGGCUUUUUCUUGCAAGAA